rnacentral:rRNA from 1 species
AACGAGACCUUAACCUGCUAACUAGCCCGUAUUGCUUUGGCAGUACGCUGGCUUCUUAGAGGGACUAUCGGCUCAAGCCGAUGGAAGUUUGAGGCAAUAACAGGUCUGUGAUGCCCUUAGAUGUUCUGGGCCGCACGCGCGCUACACUGACGGAGCCAGCGAGUACUCCCUUGGCCGAAAGGCCUGGGUAAUCUUGUGAAACUCC